rnacentral:rRNA from 1 species
GACGAACGCUGGCGGCGUGCUUAACACAUGCAAGUCGAACGGAAAGGCACUGCUUUUGUGGGGUGCUCGAGUGGCGAACGGGUGAGUAACACGUGAGUAACCUGCCCUUGACUUUGGGAUAACUUCAGGAAACUGGGGCUAAUACCGGAUAGGAGCUCAUGCUGCAUGGUGGGGGUUGGAAAGUUUCGGCGGUUGGGGAUGGACUCGCGGCUUAUCAGCUUGUUGGUGGGGUAGUGGCUUACCAAGGCUUUGACGGGUAGCCGGCCUGAGAGGGUGACCGGCCACAUUGGGACUGAGAUGCGGCCCAGACUCCUACGGGAGGCAGCAGUGGGGAAUAUUGCACAAUGGGCGGAAGCCUGAUGCAGCAACGCCGCGUGCGGGAUGACGGCCUUCGGGUUGUAAACCGCUUUCGCCUGUGACGAAGCGUGAGUGACGGUAAUGGGUAAAGAAGCACCGGCUAACUACGUG